UCACCACACGAACCCCCUACGCCCCGGAGGUUGCCGGGGUAGGUCCUCCAGGCUCUAAAGUCCUGGAGAAGUGUCAGCCGGAC
rnacentral:sRNA from 1 species